rnacentral:misc_RNA from 1 species
ACUUAACUUACCUACUGACACAAACAGAUCAUGCAUCUUCCACAUUACUUAGCUACUAGCACAAACAAUUCGUGCAUCUUCCUACUUCUUCUUCUUCUUGUCCUUCUUCUCCUUGUGCUCGCCGCCGUCGCCGUGGUCGCCGGUGAUCUUGUCCUUGAUCUUCUCCACCACGCCUUCCUUGUGCUCCCCGUCCUUCUUGUGGUGCUCCCCCUCCUUCUUGUGCUCGUCUUCCUUCUUGUGCUCGCCUCCGCCCAUGUGGAGCUUCUCCUCGAUCUUGUGGAUGAUGCCGGCCAUGGUUGGCGCCUCUCUCUCUCUCUACGGUCUCAAGAGAAAUUUGAUGGAUCGGAAUGGAUUGCUA